CUGCUGGAGUGACGCUUCAGAGUUUCCAAUAUCUUGCUCUUGUGCUGGGAAGUAAUGGCGGGAAGAUAGUCAGGCGAUGACAGUUCUUUCGUUUCAGGUGUUGCGAAGGUUAAUAUAUCAUAUUAACUUGUCACGGAGGUCGAGGGGUUAGACAACCUUCCCCACAUUAUUAUAUGAAAACAGCCAAUAGAAAUUUCAAGCAAGCCUAAUAAUAUGCACUUAUCUUCUUGGUUCAUGUGGCAUCGUUACUUCAAAUAACAUAAGGAGUAGACAAGCAUUCCAGCGAGCAUUAAUAUGACCUUGAAUGACACUGCUAUUCUAAUUGGUCAGGAGUUAGGACAGUAGAAUCUCAUAAUGAUCAAGACACAUGAGGCACUGGGAAUAGAUCCAAUUGCAUGAGUUUCACCCAACUAAAAGUAAACUGCAUAUCGAACGAUGUUUUCUAUACUUCCCGAGAUUAUAUUAUUAACAGAGCAUAGUACACGUAAAAUACAACACGACCCGAAUCAACCAAUCUGUCGAGCCACGACCUUGUGCAUUCUUGCCAUGACUCCAACCAAGCCACAAGAAGAUCCUUUGGUAUGUAACAGUUCUCACAGCGCUACAAUCGUGAGCUCACGGCAUCACUUUUGGCGCCAUUGAAUCUUUCAAAUCGCUGGAGCAAAGCAUCAGAGUUCCAGUUCCUUGCUCUCACACUUUGGACGUUAAACAAUUAUGUACAAGUAUAUGAGUUCUACCUUUCCGAGUAUUUUUGUUCUGAGAUCAACAAAUCCUCCGCAAGGGGAUCGAAAUUCACCUGGUGAACAUGACAAUUGCAAUGACAAUGAGCAGCACGACCGAGCAUACCAUUGCCUGC